rnacentral:rRNA from 1 species
AACAGCGGGAAACUGCUGCUAAUACCGGAUACGCUCCAUUUAAUCAUGGGGGAAAGGCGGCCUCUGCAUGCAAGCUGUCGACUCGGGAUGAGUCCGCGUCCCAUUAGCUAGUUGGGGGGGUAACAGCCCACCAAGGCAACGAUGGGUAGCUGGUUUGAGAGGAUGACCAGCCACACUGGGACUGAAACACGGCCCAGACUCCUACGGGAGGCAGCAGUGGGGAAUAUUGCGCAAUGGGCGAAAGCCUGACGCAGCGACGCCGCGUGAGGGAAGAAGGCCUUCGGGUCGUAAACCUCUGUCAGGAAGGAAGAACCCCGUGGGAUCGAACAGGUCCUGCGGCUGACGGUACUUCCAAAGGAAGCACCGGCUAACUCCGUGCCAGCAGCCGCGGUAAUACGGAGGGUGCAAGCGUUAAUCGGAAUUACUGGGCGUAAAGCGCACGUAGGCGGCCCUGCAAGUCAGACGUGAAAGCCCACGGCUCAACCGUGGAAUUGCGUUUGAAACUGCCGGGCUUGAGUUCGAGAGAGGGUGGCGGAAUUCCGGGUGUAGGAGUGAAAUCCGUAGAUAUCCGGAGGAACACCAGUGGCGAAGGCGGCCACCUGGAUCGAUACUGACGCUGAGGUGCGAAAGCGUGGGAGCAAACAGGAUUAGAUACCCUGGUAGUCCACGCUGUAAACGAUG